GAUUUCGUCUUUCCCGAAAAUAACAGUACUAUGAAGUCACUACUUGGUUCGAUACCGCCGCCAGACGAAGAAUAUACAGAGACUCCGGAAGCUGUAACCGUGUCUCCCCAAACAGAAGCUGGACCGAUGAUUAUUCCAGCCCCCCAA